AUUGAACGCUGGCGGAAUGCUUUACACAUGCAAGUCGAACGGCAGCACGGGGCAACCUGGUGGCGAGUGGCGAACGGGUGAGUAAUACAUCGGAACGUGCCCAAUCAUGGGGGAUAACGUAGCGAAAGCUACGCUAAUACCGCAUACGAUCUACGGAUGAAAGCGGGGGAUCGCAAGACCUCGCGCGAAUGGAGCGGCCGAUGGCAGAUUAGGUAGUUGGUGGGGUAAAGGCUCACCAAGCCGACGAUCUGUAGCUGGUCUGAGAGGACGACCAGCCACACUGGGACUGAGACACGGCCCAGACUCCUACGGGAGGCAGCAGUGGGGAAUUUUGGACAAUGGGCGCAAGCCUGAUCCAGCCAUUCCGCGUGCAGGAUGAAGGCCUUCGGGUUGUAAACUGCUUUUGUACGGAACGAAAAGGCUCUGGUUAAUACCCGGGGCUCAUGACGGUACCGUAAGAGUAAGCACCGGCUAACUACGUGCCAGCCGCCGUAAUAC
rnacentral:rRNA from 1 species